rnacentral:rRNA from 1 species
AUUGAACGCUGGCGGCAUGCCUAACACAUGCAAGUCGAACGGUAGCAGGACUGGCUUGCCAGUUGCUGACGAGUGGCGGACGGGUGAGUAAUGCGUAGGGAUCUGCCUUUGAGAGUGGGACAACUAGGGGAAACUUUAGCUAAUACCGCAUAUAGCCUAAGGGUGAAAGCAGGGGACCUUCGGGCCUUGCGGUGAAAGAUGAAACUACGUCGGAUUAGCUAGUUGGUAGGGUAAAGGCCUACCAAGGCGACGAUCCGUAACUGGUCUGAGAGGAUGACCAGUCACACUGGGACUGAGACACGGCCCAGACUCCUACGGGAGGCAGCAGUGGGGAAUAUUGGACAAUGGGGGCAACCCUGAUCCAGCAAUGCCGCGUGUGUGAAGAAGGCCUGCGGGUUGUAAAGCACUUUGAUUGGGGAGGAAGUAUUUUAUUUUAAUAAAGUAGAGUAUUGACGUUACCCAAAGAACAAGCACCGGCUAACUCUGUGCCAGCCGCCGCGGUAA